rnacentral:rRNA from 1 species
UACGUAGGUGGCAAGCGUUGUCCGGAUUUACUGGGCGUAAAGAGCGCGCAGGCGGUCAGAUAAGUCGAAUGUGAAAGCCCCUGGCUCAACUGGGGAGGGUCAUUCGAUACUGUUCGACUCGAAGGCAGGAGAGGGAAGUGGAAUUCCCGGUGUAGUGGUGAAAUGCGUAGAUAUCUGGAGGAACACCGGUGGCGAAGGCGGCAUCCUGGACCGACAUUGACGCUGAGGAGCGAAAGCUAGGGGAGCAAACGGG